rnacentral:rRNA from 1 species
GAUGAACGCUGGCGGCGUGCCUAAUACAUGCAAGUCGAGCGAACGGACGAGAAGCUUGCUUCUCUGAUGUUAGCGGCGGACGGGUGAGUAACACGUGGAUAACCUACCUAUAAGACUGGGAUAACUUCGGGAAACCGGAGCUAAUACCGGAUAAUAUUAUGAACCGCAUGGUUCAAAAGUGAAAGACGGUCUUGCUGUCACUUAUAGAUGGAUCCGCGCUGCAUUAGCUAGUUGGUAAGGUAACGGCUUACCAAGGCAACGAUGCAUAGCCGACCUGAGAGGGUGUUCGGCCACACUGGAACUGAGACACGGUCCAGACUCCGACGGGAGGCAGCAGUAGGGAAGCUUCCGCAAUGGGCGAAAGCCUGACGGAGCAACGCCGCGUGAGUGAUGAAGGUCUUCGGAUCGUAAAACGCUGUUAUUAGGGAAGAACAUAUGUGUAAGUAACUGUGCACAUCUUGACGGUACCGAAUCAGAAAGCCACGGCUAACUACGU